CUACGGGUUGCUGCAGGCGCGAAAACUUCGCAAUGGGCGAAAGCCCGAUGAGGUUAUUCCGAGUGCCUUCCGCUGAGGGAGGCUUUUCUCAAGUCUAAAUAGCGUGGGGAAUAAGGGGAGGGCAAGUCUGGUGUCAGCCGCCGCGGUAAUACCAGCUCCCCGAGUGGUCAGGACGAUUAUUGGGCCUAAAGCAUCCGUAGCCGGCCCGGUAGGUCUCAUGUUAAAUCCACCGGCUCAACCGGUGGUCUGCAUGAGAUACCGCUGGGCUAGGAGGCGGGAGAGGCGGACGGUAUUCCUUGGGUAGGGGUAAAAUCCUUUGAUCCAGGGAGGACCACCAGUGGCGAAGGCGGUCCGCCAGAACGCGCUCGACGGUGAGGGAUGAAAGCUGGGGGAGCGAACCGGAUUAGAUACCCUGGUAGUC
rnacentral:rRNA from 1 species